AAACCCCCUUGAAGACGACGAGGUAGAUAGGGCAGAGGUGGAAGUGCAGUAAUGCAUGGAGCUGACUGUUACUAAUCGGGUGAGGGCUUGACCAAA
rnacentral:rRNA from 1 species